AUGCAAUGACAUGUUAUAACUCUAAAUAAAAUUCAGUGGGCUUUGAAUGAGUAUGUACAGUUGGCCCAUAUGGCUUUGACCCGUUAUUCAUCAAAUGAGAGUAGAAGCUUUGAACUUGGGCGGCAGUUACAGGGUAAUCAAAGCCCCUUCCUUGAAGACAAUUUUCUCCAUAACAAGGUUUUUUUGGUAUCAAGAGGAUUCGAACUGAUCAAAACAUUUGAUUAAAGAUGAAGAAGUAGUUACCACCGUCCUCCAUAACCUUUGUUGGUGAGAUUCUACUUUAGUUAUCACUUGAUGAGUGUUUCAAUUCCACUAUUAAUUUUAUAGCAUCUACUCUGUCACUAUUAAUUUUAUAGCAUCUACUCUGUCACUUGACAUAGCCAGCACAUGUUAUUACAAUAAGUAUUUCCUUCCUUCGUAAUUUUUGGGUGAUCAGUUUUAUGGCUACUGCACAUGUUAUUUUUUUUUAAAGUUGUAUGAUAUUCCAUUGGAGAUAGAUAAAAUAUUGUAUAUUAUUCAACUUAUGUAAAUUGAUCAUAAGAAACUAUUUCUUUAUAUUUUUCUUCGUUAUUCAACACCUUGUUCUGUCGAGAGUGUUCAAAA